CCAAUAGCGUAUAUUAAAGUUGUUGCAGUUAAAAAGCUCGUAGUUGAAUUUCGGGGUUAGUAGGUUGGUCAUGCCUCUGGUAUGUACUGGUCUCACUGAUUCCUCCUUCCUGAUGAGCCGUAAUGCCAUUAAUUUGGUGUUGCGGGGAAUUUGGACUGUUACUUUGAAAAAAUUAGAGUGUUUAAAGCAAGCUAACGCUUGAAUACAUUAGCAUGGAAUAAUGAAAUAGGACGUUCGAUCCUAUUUUGUUGGUUUCUAGGAUUGACGUAAUGAUUAAUAGGGAUAGUUGGGGGCAUUAGUAUUUAAUUGUCAGAGGUGAAAUUCUUGGAUUUAUUGAAGACUAACUACUGCGAAAGCAUUUGCCAAGGAUGUUUUCAUUAAUCAAGAACGAAAGUUAGGGGAUCGAAGACGAUCAGAUACCGUCGUAGUCUUAACCAUAAACUAUGCCGACUAGGGAUCGGAUGAUGUUAAUUUUUUAAUGACUCAUUCGGCGCCUUACG
rnacentral:rRNA from 1 species